rnacentral:rRNA from 1 species
GGCACGCCUAACACAUGCAAGUCGAACGAAGUAGCAAUACUUAGUGGCAGACGGGUGAGUAACAUGUAGGUAUCUACCCUAUGGCCUGGAAUAACACGAGGAAACUUGUGCUAAUACUGGAUAAGUCUUUACGGAGAAAGCUUUAUGCACCAUUGGAUGAGCCUGCACUUGAUUAGUUUGUUGGUAGGGUAAUGGCCUACCAAGACUUUGAUCAAUAGCUGAUUUGAGAGGAUGAUCAGCCACAUUGGGACUGAGACACGGCCCAAACUCCUACGGGAGGCAGCAGUGGGGAAUCUUGCACAAUGGAGGAAACUCUGAUGCAGCGAUGCCGCGUGAGUGAAGAAGGCCCUUGGGUUGUAAAGCUCUUUCGUCGGGGAAGAAAAUGACUGUACCCGAAUAAGAAGGUCCGGCUAACUUCGUGCCAGCAGCCGCGGUAAUACGAAGGGACCUAGCGUAGUUCGGAAUUACUGGGCUUAAAGAGUUCGUAGGUUGUUGAAAUAGUUGGUGGUGAAAUCCCAGAGCUUAACUCUGGAACUGCCAUCAAAACUUUUCAGCUAGAGUAUGAUAGAGGAAAGCAGAAUUUCUAGUGUAGAGGUGAAAUUCGUAGAUAUUAGAAAGAAUACCAAUUGCGAAGGCAGCUUUCUGGAUCAUUACUGACACUGAGGAACGAAAGCAUGGGUAGCGAAGAGGAUUAGAUACCCUCGUAGUCCAUGCCGUAAACGAUGUGUGUUAGACGUUGGAAAUUUAUUUUCAGUGUCGCAGCGAAAGCGAUAAACACACCGCCUGGGGAGUACG